GCUACAUUGUUACAAUCCUUCCUUCCAUUUCCUGCAACAUUCCGUUUUUAUGUUCUCUGAAAGGAAACGUUACUUCGUUUCAGCGUCUCGGAUAAUAUAUUAGCCUGUCUUCUAUAUUGACUGCUGGGACACGCGAGCUACUCCCGAACACAUAGCAGUCGUUUCCUUGGCUACUCCAAGCCUUCCACUCGGCUUUCUAUGCUUCACCUGUAGCCGAAGACUGCUCCAUUUUCUUAUUUCUGGCACAUUACUGAAAGGUAGAGCUGCUUCGUGGAAAACUAGAGAGCGAAAAGCGAGACCAGGGAGUGAAAGUCGUGACGUCUCACAAAGCAAGAAUUAAAGGAGCAGAUAUGAAGAGGGUCCGUGGCCAGGUACGGCUGGGUCGGUUCACCGGGACACGGAUGGGAGGCUGCUGAAAGAAGGCUGCGGUGAUGUGCAUGCUGCUGUUUUGGAAUCCUCGGCUUGGGAGCAAGAACCGCCUGACAACAUGACUGGGUUCAACCAGCAGAAUGUUGAGGAAUACUAUGAGAUGGGAGAUGAGCUGGGGAGG